GGCAUUUGGGUGAAAAGUUGAGUUUUAACCUUAAGAGUGGUUUGGGAGGGUAAUUGGGUUAUUUGACCUUGGGUUAUUUGACCUUGUUUUUGGAAAUUUGACGAUUCCAUCGAGUAUGGAAUAUCGAUUCUAAUUGAGUAGCAUGUCCAAUUUAUUUUGAUAGGACCCCGAACGAUUCCUAGGGUUCAUUCGGAGGCUUUUUAUUUGAGUUUGAGUUGCUGGCAGUUUUCUAUGCAGGUCAUUUUUUACCUUGGCGAUCGCGAUGUGUCUUCUUCGUGGCCCAUAGGCUCGCGUCCGCGAUAAGCUCCUUUUUUCUCUAAUAAGCCUUCAAGAUUCCGGACAAGGUGUCUCGCAAUCGCAAUGUUUCUUCCGCGUCUUUCACGAUCGCGAUGAGUAAAAUUCACUUAGAAUGAACUCAAAUUCAAGAUUUCUCGCAAAAAUCCCAUUUUCAAACCCUUGGAGCUUUGGGAGGCGAUUGUUAAGUGAUUCUUGGUGAACUCUAGGUUAGGUUGAGGAUCGUUUCGGUUAGCGCGUGGUUGAUUAUUUGCUCCGGUUGAGUUGUUUGGGUGAAGUUUUGGCCUUGAGGUAGGUUUGGUUAUCCCUCUUUUUAGACUGAGUUGAUCAGUAAUUAACUUGUUCUUAGGAAGUUAACUAUGAAAUGAGUAGUCGUAUGUGCCUUAGAAGUUGGUGAGUGUUGAUAUCCCUGUUUUAAUUCGAUUGAUGCCUUACUGUGAUGUUAGCCUAUGUGGAGGCUUAUGUGAUACUGUUAACUGUUGUGGAAAGUCUGUGAUUCUUGAGAAAAUUGCCCGAUCAGGGGCUUGAGUUGACUUAUGAACAUCUUAAAAUGAAUACCUGUCAUGACUUUUUGAGUUUGGGAAUUCGAUACUAUUUGCAAGUCUUAAUGAACUGAUUAUGCCUUGUGUUGUAUGUGU